AAACUUCAAAAACCACCCCUGUGGUUUCGUACUUUCUCACUUUAGUACCCUGUGGUUUAAAACGUAUCAAUUUGCCCCCCUGUGGUUUCGUUUUUCUCUUUUUGUUAUCAAUUUUAUUAUUAUUUUUUUCUUAAAUCAGUGACAAAGUUAAAAUUAAAGGAUACUAAAGUGAAUAUUCGAUAAAUAUAGAUGGUUAUCUGAAGUUUUUUGUAUAUAAUUUAACGAAAUAUUAACGAAAAAGCUUCCGAAAAGAUAAAAAUGAAACCACAGGGGGGCAAAUUGAUACAUUUUAAACCACAGGGUACUAAAGUGAGAAUGCACGAAACCACAGGGGGGUUUUUGAAGUUUUCCCUUCUUUUUGUCCCGUUAGUAUUUUUUUUCUUUUUUUUUUCUUUUUUUUUUUUUCUAAUUAACGUUCUUUACUUCUUUUUCGACUUUGGUCGGAUAAAAAUAAAAUAAAGGGUUAAUUUCACUUAGGCCCCUACUAAUACAGUAAAUUGCAAACAUAUCCCUAUAAAAUUUAAUUUUUAUAUAUUGUUUUUGUAAAAAUUCGGAUAUUUUCAAAUAUAUCCCUGCCGUUAGAAACUAUUAAAAAAAAUUAGUUAAUCAUAGAUAACAUAUUUAACCCUAGUUAGUUAAUGAGGUGAAUUAAUUUUUUACUCAUUUUUAAUUAACAGUUGAAAUUUUUGGAGGGACAUAUUUGUGAUGAUAAAAAGGUUAUUUCACUAAUAAAAUAAAUAGUAUUUUAACGGUAACAAAUCAGAGAGAUAUAUUAGAAAAUAUUAGAAUUUUUUAUCGUCAUAUAUCAAAGUUGAACGUUGUAGGGAUAUAUUUGUAAUUUACUAUGUUUGCAGGGACUUAUAUGAAAUU
rnacentral:lncRNA from 1 species